GGAGAGGUGACCGAGUGGCUGAAGGUGCUUGUCUCGAAAACAAGUGUGCCGCCUAUGCGGUACCGCGGGUUCGAAUCCCGCCCUCUCCGCCA
rnacentral:tRNA from 1 species